GCUCUUGUGGUGUAGUGGUUAUCACAUCUGCUUUACACGCAGAAGGUCCCCGGUUCGAACCCGGGCGGGAGCU